GAUGAACGCUGGCGGCGUGCCUAAUACAUGCAGGUCGAGCGAACAGAUAAGGAGCUUGCUCCUUUGAAGUUAGCGGCGGACGGGUGAGUAACACGUGGGUAACCUACCUAUAAGACUGGGAUAACUUCGGGGAACCGGAGCUAAUACCGGACAACAUUUAGAACCGCAUGGUUCUAAAGUGAAAGAUGGUUUUGCUAUCACUUAUAGAUGGACCCGCGCCGUAUUAGCUAGUUGGUAAGGUAACGGCUUACCAAGGCGACGAUACGUAGCCGACCUGAGAGGGUGAUCGGCCACACUGGAACUGAGACACGGUCCAGACUCCUACGGGAGGCAGCAGUAGGGAAUCUUCCGCAAUGGGCGAAAGCCUGACGGAGCAACGCCGCGUGAGUGAUGAAGGGUUUCGGCUCGUAAAACUCUGUUAUUAGGGAAGAACAAAUGUGUAAGUAACUGUGCACAUCUUGACGGUACCUAAUCAGAAAGCCACGGCUAACUACGUGCCAGCAGCCGCAGUAA
rnacentral:rRNA from 1 species